UAGUUUGAAAGCUACCAUAUCAAAACU
rnacentral:piRNA from 2 species